rnacentral:tRNA from 1 species
UCUCUGGUGGCCUAGCAGGUUAAGGCUCUUGCAUUUUCACUGCUGUGGCUCAGGUCACUGCUGUAAUAUAGGUUCAAUCCCUGACCUGGGAA